CCUACGGGUGGCAGCAGUGGGGAAUAUUGCACAAUGGGGGAAACCCUGAUGCAGCGACGCCGCGUGAGCGAUGAAGUAUCUCGGUAUGUAAAGCUCUAUCAGCAGGGAAGAAAAUGACGGUACCUGUCUAAGAAGCCCCGGCUAACUACGUGAAAGCAGCCGCGGUAACACGUAGGGGGCAAGCGUUAUCCGGAUUUACUGGGUGUAAAGGGGGCGUAGGCGGGUGUGCAAGUCAGAUGGGAAAGCCCGGGGGUCAACCCCCGGACUGCAGUUGAAACUGUGUGGCUGGAGUGUGCGAGAGGCAGGCGGAAUUCGUAGUGUAGCGGUGAAAUGUGUAGAUAUCAGGAGGAACUCCAGUGGCGAAGGCGGCCUACUGGACGAUGACUGACGUUGAGGCUCGAAAGCGUGGGGAGCAAACAGGAUUAGAUACCCCGGUAGUC
rnacentral:rRNA from 1 species